rnacentral:rRNA from 1 species
AGAGUUUGAUCCUGGCUCAGGAUGAACGCUGGCGGCGUGCCUAACACAUGCAAGUCGAGCGAGAAGUUUGAAAAAUGAGUUUUCGAACAAGUGAUUCAAACGGAAAGCGGCGGACGGGUGAGUAACGCGUAGGCAACCUGCCCCGUGCAGAGGGACAGCCUCGGGAAACCGGGAUUAAGACCUCAUGAUAUCGGGUUAUCACAUGGUAAUCCGGUCAAAGAUUUAUCGGCAUGGGAUGGGCCUGCGUCUGAUUAGCUGGUUGGUGGGGUAACGGCCUACCAAGGCGACGAUCAGUAGCAGAACUGAGAGGUUCAUCUGCCACAUUGGAACUGAGACACGGUCCAAACUCCUACGGGAGGCAGCAGUGAGGAAUAUUGCACAAUGGGCGAAAGCCUGAUGCGGCAACGCCGCGUGAGCGAAGAAGGCCUUUGGGUCGUAAAGCUCUGUCCUUGGGGAAGAAACAAAUGACGGUACCCUUGGAGGAAGCCCCGGCUAACUACGUGCCAGCAGCCGCGGUAAUACGUAGGGGGCGGGCGUUAUCCGGAAUUAUUGGGCGUAAAGAGUGCGUAGGUGGUCUUGUAAGCGUGGGGUGAAAGGCAGUGGCUUAACCAUUGUUAGCCUUGCGAACUGUGAGACUUGAGUGCAGGAGAGGAAAGCGGAAUUCCUAGUGUAGCGGUGAAAUGCGUAGAUAUUAGGAGGAACACCAGUGGCGAAGGCGGCUUUCUGGACUGUAACUGACACUGAGGCACGAAAGCGUGGGGAGCAAACAGGAUUAGAUACCCU